UCUUCAUUUCCCACACUCUCUCACCUGUCAGAGAGGCGAGAGAGUGUGCGAAAUGAAGAGA
rfam:Pristionchus pacificus strain PS312 contig2132, whole genome shotgun sequence.